GUUGUAUAGUCAAGUAAUUAAGUGCAUGUGGUGGAUGCCUUGGCAGUCAGAGGCGAUGAAAGACGUGAUAGCCUGCGAAAAGCUCCGGGGAGGCGGCAAAUAUCCUUUGAUCCGGAGAUGUCUGAAUGGGGGAACCCACCUACUUUAAGGUAGGUAUUGCAACAUGAAUACAUAGUGUUGCAAGGCGAACGAGGGGAAGUGAAACAUCUCAGUACCCUUAGGAAAAGAAAUCAAUUGAGAUUCCCUCAGUAGCGGCGAGCGAACGGGGAUCAGCCCAUUAAGUUAUGUGUGUUUUAGUGGAACG
rnacentral:rRNA from 1 species